GACACAUCAUUCGCCAGUUGUACGUGAACGUGUGAGGUGGCAUGCCAAUCGGUUCGGUCGUUUAGUAGACGCAAAAAGUGUUUGUUUGUUUGUUGCAUUGUUGUUGUUUUUAUUUGCCGACACUGGGUUGGUGCGGCUAUGCGUGUGAGUGAGCGCCGAAGUGUUUGCUGGUGUUAAUGUUUAGUGAUUUCUUAGAUUCUUUUUCGACGUGAGAGCGCGGUUGUGCGGCUUUGGAGCGCGAGUAAACAAGCAAAAUGUAAACAAAAGCAACAACAAUGUGUCUGAGUAACGUUUGUUUAGUGCAAAGGUGGUAGGGCAAAAGUAUUGCGGCUACUAAUUCGAUCGUUGCACACAUAUAUUCACACACACACACAUAUAAAAUCUGAGCAGUGCGAAAUUCUUUGCGCUCGCGAAACUCUCUCAAGCGCUCUACUGAACGCGCUCUCUGUCGCUAGCGGUCAAGCGCUACAUUGCAUUCGUCUUGUUGCUAGCGUCACUUUUGCACUCUGCGCUGACGCUGACGCGCGCGCCCCCCUCCUUUGAUGUGGCAUUGUGGAAACUGAGUCGCUGGGUCGAUAUGUCGAUCGGCGCUGGAAAUGUGCAGUGAAGUCUGACAAAAGCAUCUGCUCAAUUAAAUGCGAUAAAAAAUGAAAUACAUAAUAUACGAGAGUGAGCCGGUAAGCGCAAACUAAAACAAUAAUAACAACAAAGCGCAGCAACAACCACCAAAUCGAAAUAGAAAAGCUUAGCGCUCUAGCGUUGCGAAAGCACGAAAGCCUAAGCAGCUGCAGCGUUGUCGAUACCAAACGAAAUUUGUAAUAACAACUACAACAGCAAUAACAAGCGCGACGCAUGUAAAGCGCAUCAUUUGAAUGCGCUGCCUCAGCUGCUCGUUGUUUAGCGAAUUUUGCACAACGCUUUCGUUGGUGUGUGUGUGUGUGACGGCUGGAAGCUGCGCCGCUCAAGUGCCGUGUUCGCCGCGGCCGUCAGUGGGCCAGCGCUGAGUUGCGAGUUGCUUUAGUAACGCCAACAUUCGUUGUAGUCUGGCGUUGUGCGCGAAAUUGUGAGGUCGUCGUCGUAGUCGUUGUCGUCAUCGUCUUCGUUGAUAUUUUUGGUGUGCGUGCGAAAUUAUUUUGUAGUGAGUUUUCGAAAAAAACAACAAAAAAGCGAUUAGAGUGAAAUUAAAUCGUGGCUUAGACCAAAUAUAGUGUGUUGUUUGGCCAAGUGUAUACAAUGUAGCGCUUACAUUUAAGGCAGUGAUUUUAGACAAGUUAAGAGUGAAAAAUUUGAAAUACUAGAAAAAGUGCUCGAAGGUGUUUUAAUGUUUAAAAACGUGAAAGAUUUCGAAAAUCUCAUACAACGCUUAAAAUUACAGAUUUUUAAUGCAGUUUAUCAAGUUUAUUUUUGCUAAAUUAAUAUCCCGAUUUUUUAACAAUUUUUGUGUUAAUGAUUACCUCUGCUGUGUAAGCCUGAGUGAUGAUAAUUAUCUCAUUUGUAUGUAGAGAGAAGUGUCUCAACUAAUUACUGUGAAAUUUCAAAGUGAAUUCUACUAAGCUUCCUUGCAACCAAACAUUGCAAAUUGUAAAUUGAUUUCUACUAAAGUGAUCCAUUGAAGAGACAAAAAAAAUGUGUGAACAUCGGCUCUCUCAUAUGAUAAUUUGCAAGUCUGCCGUUGAUAUUUUGUGAGAUCCCCAACUAACUGUCGCUUUUCGGAUGUGUGUGUGUAUGCAUUUUCCAACAGUUUAAUGUAGAAAAAACAAAAAAAUUUCAAUAAAAAUAUUUGAAUAAUUGAUAUGAGCAAUAUUUGUAAAGCAAAUUGAAACUAAUUAAUUGAGAAAACAAUGAAAUGAGCAAUUUGAACGCGGAAAAAUCGAAAAAGUGAAAAAUGAAAUUUUAAAAAUUGUGUGCAGCAUUUUACUGCGCCAAAAAAAGCAAAUAAAGCAAAUAAAAUAUAAUUGGUGAAAACAACUAAAACUAAUUACUUCGUGUGGUGUUUUAAAUGAAAAAAUUAUGCGACAAACAGAAUAAUGAUUAGAAGGUGUAUUCGUGCAUCAGCUGCCUUUCUAUUGCGGGAAAAUAUAUAAGGUAAGCACUGUGAAGCGUUAAUGUGGUUUGGUAGAUGGCAACCAGACAGCUAGACAGCAAAUAAAACCUCGAAAUGAAGGAAAAAACGAAAGGAGUAUGAGUGACAUGAACACCGUAACGAAACACAAUAACAAUAACAACAACGCUGGUGCAACCAUGGAAAUUAUAACUAACACGCCGCGCACAACAUCACGUGAUAAUUGCGAGUACGAGUGGGUACCAGCAAAUAAACUAAAAUGAAAUACAGAAGAAAGCUCAACUCAUAUAUGUAUGUGUGUGUGUGUGUUUGUGAAAAGUGGAGUAGCAAAGGUGCGAGCGUAGCUGACACACGGAAACGACGGUGAUAGGGUAAUCAGGAUGGCAGGCCGGUAGGCAGGCGAGCAGGCAGUCAGACAGGCUUUUGUGUUGCAUCGGCUGAGGCAUGUGGUUAAGCAGGAAGUGCAAACCCAGAAGGCAUCUCCAGUACACAGCCUUUGUGCCACGAUACAAAAACAAAAAAAAGCAAGCAGAAAAAGUGAGGUUAUAAACCGAAAAUGCGGUGAGACAUGAAAAUGUCAGAAAAUGCAAGCGGUAAAAAUACUAAUUCAGUGGGAAAUGCAGACGACAUAAAAUUUAUUUAUUUUUUCGUUGCUGCUUUUUGUUGUUUGCCUCACUUAAUUCGCUUUUUUUUUAAUAAAAUGUUGGUCGAAAAGUGAAAAAUUCACCGAAAAAGAUAGCAACAACAACAAAAUUGAAAUGAAAUUGCAUGAAAGAAGAGAAGGGCGCCUCUCGUGGGCAAACACUUGGUUGCAGGAAAUUUUAUUUGUCGAGCGGAAAUGUUGUCUCACAGCAUUGGUUGCGACGGCUAUGGUGGUGUGGUGGUGGCGGUGAAUGGCGGUGUCGCCGGCAAAGUGAGCGUGUAUUUAAUCUGGAUUAGAUUGCACAAAGUGCAGUUGACUUUGUCACUGGAGCAUUUGUGGGUUUGCCUUUAAUUCACUUUUUGCCAGUUGCGGUUAGCUUCCAAAGAUUUAAGUGCCGUCGAAAAUUAAGAAACAAUGAAAGGUUGUUAAUGAAAUUUCGGGUGUUAAGUGGUGAGAGUUGUGUGGAGUAGGAGAAAUGCAGAAAAUGAAUAAUUGGCGGUUUGCGACUUUAAACAAUUUGCUUUGAAAAUAGAGUUUGGGGUUAAAGUGUAAUUCCAGUGAUAUUGAUUGAUUUCGUGAGAGCUCGUUGGUGUUUACAAGGGUUAUAAAUGAGAUCAUAAUUUCUUUUAAUGCUAAUAAAAGGGCUAGCAAAGCUUACAUAAUUUACAGGUAUGAAUUUCAGCUAACUUCUUAAAGUACCUGUUAGAAAAGAUAUCAACGAUUGGAUGUUCGAAAACUUCCUUAGUUAUUUGAAAGCCUUUAUAGAUAAAGAGAGAGAAAAC